rnacentral:piRNA from 1 species
UCCAGUGGGUUUUUCUUGGGGUGUC